rnacentral:rRNA from 1 species
GACAGAGGUGCCGAGCGUUAGGCGGAAUCACUGGGCUUAAAGCGUGUGUAGGCGGACCGUUAAGUACCUUGUGAAAUCCCCCGGCCCAACCGGGGAACGGCUGGGUAUACUGGCGGUCUUGAGCCAUCCAGGGGCAGUCGGAACAGACGGUGGAGCGGUGAAAUGCGUAGAUAUCGUCUGGAACGCCGAAGGUGAAAACAGACUGCUGGGGAUGCGCUGACGCUGAGACACGAAAGCCAGGGGAGCGAACGGG